ensembl:lncRNA novel transcript, antisense to OR13G1, OR6F1 and OR14A2
GUCCUGGACGCCCCUUGGCGGUCCGCACUGGCGGGUGCCCUCUCCCGAGGGGAACUGAGGCGGGGCGCCUGCCACCAUUCGUGAUUUUCCGUGACUCACCCUCUCAACAGUGUCCCGUCAGCCCCCGCUUUCUGGAAUUAAGAUGAUUUUCCAUGGGCAUUAUAGUCAGAGGAGGUUUUCUGUGAGACAUCUGGGAAAGGUGACUCAAUGAUCACUCAUAUUGUUCUAUGAUGUUAUACAUUUAACCGGAAUACUGGUGAACAGCUUUUAUAUCUUGGAAUUUUUUCCCAUUUUUGAAUCAGAAAUUUAGGACCAAGAAUCUUCUGUCACAGAACCUAUUACUUUGAGGAGUGAACUUAUAUUAACGGUGCUAAACCGUACAUGAACGACUUGGUAGAUGAAAACUUUGGAAAAUAGGAACAUUUCAUGUCAUCACAUGUAUCCUCCAGCAUUGGGGAAAAUUCAACAGUUGCCUUAAGGCGGGAGUUUAAUUGAGGACAUUUACUAAAAAGUUACUUAUUCUGUUUGAAAUUCUCUUCUGAUAAACAUCUUCCCGGGAUAACGAACAUCUCCAGGAUGUGAGAGCCGAGCGCGUGUCCGCGGAGUGCUUGAGCAACGCAGAAUGGCUUCGGUGCUGCGUUCCUUAGACCCCGUGCGGACCCUGCUGAGCCCUCAGCAUCUGGUAUAGAUGAAAGGAUUCAGCAUCGGAGCCACCAUUGAAUACAUGAUGGUUGACAGAGUGUCGCUCUCAGGCAUAUGGGGGGAUGAAGGGCUGAAAUAGACGGCGAUGGCUGUGCCGUAAAACAACACCACCACUGACAGGUGGCAGCUGCAGGUGGAAACAGCUCUCUGCUUGCCCUGAGUAGAGGUGAUCUUCAGAACAGUGGAGAAGAUAAGUCCAUAAGAUACGAGGAUACAGACAAGGGGCGUGAGAGCCAAUAGACCUCCUACUGCAAAAAUGAUCAUUACAUUGAAGGAGACGUCAGAGCAAGAGAGCUGCAGGAGAGGAUUGAGAUCACAGAAGAAAUGAUGGAUGAUAUUGGAGGCACAGAAGGACAGCUGUGCUAUUAGGACAGUAUGCAGGAGGGCGUGGAGGUAAGUAACAAGCCACAGUCCAGCCACUAGCUGGACACAAAGGCACAGGUUCAUUCUGGCGGUGUAAUGUAAGGGGUGGCAAAUCGCCACAUAUCUAUCAUACGCCAUCACACACAGAAGGAGGCUGUCCAUAUUCACAAAAGAAACGAAGAAGAAGAGCUGGGUGAGGCAGCCUGCAAAAGAGAUAGUCUUGGUGCCAGUCAAGAUAUUCACUACCAUUUGGGGGACUGUAGUCGACGUAAAGCAGAUGUCAACAAAGGCCAAGUUACUAAGGAAGAAGUACAUAGGGGAAUGGAGGUGAGAGUCAAAGCCAAUCGUCGCAAUGAUGAGCAUGUUCCCCAAGGUGGUGGCUAAAUACAUACAGAGAAAGAGCACAGACAGGAGGUGCUGCUGCUCUGCUGAGCUAGGAAGUCCCAGAAGGACGAAUUCCCUGACAACUGUUAGAUUUCUUUUUUCCAUAUUCCCAACAAAUCUAGAAAAAUAAGUUAUUAAAUUGUAAAAGCC